rfam:Medicago truncatula strain A17 chromosome 4, whole genome shotgun sequence.
AUAUAAGCAAAUUUUACUUUUUAGGUUCAUUCAAUUAAUGAUGUAUGUGGUUUAUAAUAUGGACCACAUACAUCAUUAAUUAAAUGAAUCUAAAAAGUAAAAUUUGCUUAUAU